AUUACAGGCGUGAGCUACCACGCCCGGCUAGAGGGAAAAAAAAGGAAAAGCCAUCAGCAAUACCAAGGGAAACCGUAAGCUAAGUCCAGAAUGCCUCCUUUCUGCCUAAAUGCCUCUGAUCUUCAUUUGAUCAUCAUCAGCUGCAGACCCAUGAGCCACUGGGCCUGACCUGGGAGACACCGGCCCUCCGCUUCCAGCGCUCUCCAGCUCGGAUUUCCUGCAGAACAGUGGCAAAGCGUUCGCCCAGAGCUGCGUCCCCUCACUGGAAAGCAGCGCUGAGUCAGGGUUACCUGGCUCCCCUGUACCCCCAGCGAGGUGAAAUUGUACCAUCAAAUUCUCACAACAACAUUGGUUCUCCUUUAAGGAUAAGGAGGCUACCGCCCAAAGAGCUUGUGCACUGGGUGCACAGCCACUCAGGCCAUCUUCCAGAGCGGGAUGUCUGACUCCAGAGCCCGCCAGCCCACACUGCUCUCCUGAGGACUGGGUUUCUCUGGCCUGAGUCUGCCCGAGUGUACAGGAAGAACCCUGCUGGCACCCCAGUAAGCCCCUCUAGACCUUGGGGCUCUAACUGCUCUCAGAGCUCACUUUUCAGUUAGCCUAUAAGGCAGGGGUGUCCAGUCUUUUGGCUUUCCUUGGCCACAUUGGAAGAAGAAUUGGCUUGUGUCACACAUAAAAUACAAUAACACUAAUGAUAGCUGAUGAGUUAAAAACAGUGAAAAAUCACA